GUAAGGAAUAUUGGACAAUGGACGCAAGUCUGAUCCAGCCAUGCCGCGUGAAGGAUUAAGGUCCUCUGGAUUGUAAACUUCUUUUAUAAGGGACGAAAAAAGGCUUUUCUAAGUCGUCUGACGGUACCUUAUGAAUAAGCACCGGCUAACUCCGUGCCAGCAGCCGCGGUAAUACGGAGGGUGCAAGCGUUAUCCGGAUUCACUGGGUUUAAAGGGUGCGUAGGCGGGCAGGUAAGUCAGUGGUGAAAUCCUAGAGCUUAACUCUAGAACUGCCAUGGAUACUAUCUGUCUUGAAUAUUGUGGAGGUAAGCGGAAUAUGUCAUGUAGCGGUGAAAUGCUUAGAUAUGACAUAGAACACCUAUUGCGAAGGCAGCUUACUACGCAUAUAUUGACGCUGAGGCACGAAAGCGUGGGGAUCAAACAGGAUUAGAAACCCUAGUAGUCC
rnacentral:rRNA from 1 species